rnacentral:rRNA from 1 species
CCUACGGGGGUCAGCAGUGGGGGAUAUUGCACAAUGGGGGAAACCCUGAUGCAGCAACGCCGCGUGAGUGAAGAAGGUCUUCGGAUUGUAAAGCUCUGUUCUUGGUGAAGAUAAUGACGGUAGCCAAGGAGAAAGCUCCGGCUAACUACGUGCCAGCAGCCGCGGUAAUACGUAGGGAGCGAGCGUUGUCCGGAUUUACUGGUUGUAAAGGGCGUGCAGCCGGGAAGACAAGUCAGAUGUGAAAUCCCGCGGCUCAACCGCGGAACUGCAUUUGAAACUGUUUUUCUUGAGUACAGGAGAGGUCAUCGGAAUUCCUUGUGUAGCGGUGAAAUGCGUAGAUAUAAGGAAGAACACCAGUGGCGAAGGCGGAUGACUGGACGGCAACUGACGGUGAGGCGCGAAAGCGUGGGGAGCAAACAGGAUUAGAUACCCGGGUAGUC